rnacentral:rRNA from 1 species
GCUCAGAACGAACGCUGGCGGCGUGCUUAACACAUGCAAGUCGAACGAGAAGUACGUAGCCAUACGUAUUGUAAAGUGGCGCACGGGUGAGUAACACGUGGGUAAUCUGCCCUUGAGUUUGGGAUAACCCCGCGAAAGCGGGGCUAAUACCGAAUAAGACCACGGGGACCAAAGUCCCUGAGGUAAAAGGUGGCCUCUAUUUAUAAGCUACCACUUGAGGAUGAGCCCGCGGCCCAUUAGCUAGUUGGCGGGGUAACGGCCCACCAAGGCAAUGAUGGGUAGCUGGUCUGAGAGGACGAUCAGCCACACUGGAACUGAGACACGGUCCAGACUCCUACGGGAGGCAGCAGUGGGGAAUAUUGCGCAAUGGGCGAAAGCCUGACGCAGCAACGCCGCGUGGGGGAUGAAGGUUUUCGGAUUGUAAACCCCUUUCGAUCGGAACGAAUCUCCUCCUGGUAAAUAAUCAGGAGGGUUGACGGUACCGGGAGAAGAAGCCACGGCUAACUCUGUGCCAGCAGCCGCGGUAAGACAGAGGUGGCGAGCGUUGUUCGGAUUUAUUGGGCGUAAAGCGAACGCAGGUGGUUUGGUAAGUCAGAGGUGAAAGUCCGCAGCUUAACUGCGGCACUGCCUUUGAUACUGCCUUUCUUGAGUGCAUGAGGGGGAAGCGGAAUUCCGAGUGUAGAGGUGAAAUUCGUAGAUAUUCGGAGGAACACCGGUGGCGAAGGCGGCUUCCUGGCAUGUAACUGACACUCAUGUUCGAAAGCGUGGGUAGCAAACAGGAUUAGAUACCCUGGUAGUCCACGCCCUAAACGAUGGGCACUAGGUGUGGGAGGUAUCGACCCCUUCCGUGCCGCAGCUAACGCAUUAAGUGCCCGGCCUGGGGAGUACG